CGGCCCAGUUAGUAUAGUGGUUAGUACUUCUCGUUGUGGCCGAGACGACGCAGGUUCGAUUCCUGCACUGGGCAUCG